rnacentral:tRNA from 1 species
UUAGCUCAAUGGCAGAGCAUCUGCUUUGCAUGCAGAAGGUUCCAAGCUCAAUCCUUGGCAUCUCAG